GUAUUCGGUUCUUGCUUCGCCACUGGUUAGCCUGUACGCUUCUAUUUUCUUGUGGGCAAUCUAGUAUUCGAGAGUGAAACGAUGUUAGUUGUGAACAGUGGUGCUGUGUUUUGUUGACGUUUCCAAGACUUGUGAAGAAGCUGUGCUCAUGUGACCGAAAAUUGAAAGACAGCGUUGAUAACUGUUUUGCCCUGUGAAGUCGCGGUGGUGGAGCUUGGCGCUUUUAUUUGUUAACUCGUCCCUUCUCGUUUUUGUGAUAACCAUAGUCCUAGUGCAUGAUGUGAUGAACCGAAGCUGCGAGAUGCUACAUUUUGUUGUGAAUCGUGCUACUUUGGCAGCGCGCUGAAGUUGUAAGCCAGUGCCGGCUAACUACAGGUUUCCGAGUUCGUCUGGCCAUCGUUUUUCACAGCAUUAGAGCCUUGACAACAGCCGGUCAUGGCCAGUUCUUACAAUACAUCAAUGGACGUGCCCACCUGGCCAGCCCUUCAUUGCUGUCACCGGCAGCUUCCAGUCUGCAGAUGUCCUUUACCUGUCGGCCAUAGAGCACUCUUGGUUCCUCAUGACACCGACGGCUACUAAAUGCUGCCAUCGCUAGCCUACUUCAGCAGCAGUGCGAUGCAGCCAGCAACCAUGCAAGCCAAGUCACGGAGCGCUCCUUCGGUAUUCUGUACAGGACGCAGCAUAUUCAUCCGGCAAGACACUGGUAUCAACAAUAAAGUUCUAGCACUAGCAAGGGAUCCAGUGCUCCACCAUCAUGUACAGUGUAUCAAGAACAGAGCACAGAAGACCAAAAAGUAUAAAGGGACUGCCAGUGACUAUUCUCCUGCUCAAAGUUUACGACAGCAGAAAGAGCACAUUGUGAUGUCAGGAGCAGUUUGAAUUGUAUACGUAGUAACAUUCUGCGCAGCUGCAGCUUAACUUUUUAGCAGUGCAUUAUUCAGCAGUUUUUUUUUGCUUGCAUUACAAAUUAAUUAAAUUUUGCAUGGAAG